CAUCUUACCUAGCAGGGGAGAUACCAUGAUCAUGAAGGUGGUUAACCUAUGUCGAGGCUUAGCCAUUGCACUGAGGCUUGAGCUGACCUGUUCGAAUUCCUCAAAUGUGGGAAUCUCGACUGCAUGAUUUAUGGUAGUGAGGGACUGCAUCUGCGCUCUCCCCUG